CUUCGAACCAACUUUCCAUGGUGCUUCAAAUGCAGACUUAGCGGGAAGUUCUAACAGGGUUUGCCUGCGCGGUCAACCGAUUUCCAGAUUUUUUUAAUUUAUCAAAGGAGCAAUUUCACCCUCUCUUCACCUAUCA